rnacentral:rRNA from 1 species
AUUGAACGCUGGCGGCAGGCCUAACACAUGCAAGUCGAACGGUAACAGGAAGAAGCUUGCUUCUUUGCUGACGAGUGGCGGACGGGUGAGUAAUGUCUGGGAAACUGCCUGAUGGAGGGGGAUAACUACUGGAAACGGUAGCUAAUACCGCAUAACGUCGCAAGACCAAAGAGGGGGACCUUCGGGCCUCUUGCCAUCGGAUGUGCCCCGAUGGGGUUAGCUAGUAGGUGGGGUAACGGCUCACCUAGGCGACGAUCCCUAGCCGGUCUGAGAGGAUGACCAGCCACACUGGAACUGAGACAAGGUCCAGAAUCCUAAGGGAGGCAGCAGUGGGGAAUAUUGGACAAUGGGCGCAAGCCUGAUGCAGCCAUGCCGCGUGUAUGAAGAAGGCCUUCGGGUUGUAAAGUACUUUCAGCGGGGAGGAAGGGAGUAAAGUUAAUACCUUUGCUCAUUGACGGUACCCGCAGAAGAAGCACCGGCUAACUCCGUG